rnacentral:rRNA from 1 species
UACGUAGGGUGCGAGCGUUAAUCGGAAUUACUGGGCGUAAAGGGUGCGCAGGCGGUCCUGCAAGUCAGGCGUGAAAUCCCCGGGCUUAACCUGGGAAUGGCACUUGAAACUACGGGACUGGAGUAUGGCAGAGGGAGGUGGAAUUCCACGUGUAGCGGUGAAAUGCGUAGAUAUGCGGAGGAACACCGAUGGCGAAGGCAAUCCCCUGGGCCUGCACUGACGCUCAUGCACGAAAGCGUGGGGAGCAGACAGG